CGUAGGGUGCGAGCGUUAAUCGGAAUUACUGGGCGUAAAGCGUGCGCAGGCGGUGAUGUAAGACAGAUGUGAAAUCCCCGGGCUCAACCUGGGAACUGCAUUUGUGACUGCAUCGCUGGAGUGCGGCAGAGGGGGAUGGAAUUCCGCGUGUAGCAGUGAAAUGCGUAGAUAUGCGGAGGAACACCGAUGGCGAAGGCAAUCCCCUGGGCCUGCACUGACGCUCAUGCACGAAAGCGUGGGGAGCAAACAGGAUUAGAUACCCUGGUAGUCCACGCCCUAAACGAUGUCAACUGGUUGUUGGGUCUUCACUGACUCAAUAACGAAGCUAACGCGUGAAGUUGACCGCCUGGGGAGUACGGCCGCAAGGUUG
rnacentral:rRNA from 1 species